UACGGGGGGGGCAAGCGUUGUUCGGAAUUACUGGGCGUAAAGGGCUCGUAGGCGGCCAACUAAGUCAGACGUGAAAUCCCUAGGCUCAACCUAGGAACUGCGUCUGAUACUGGAUGGCUUGAAUCCGGGAGAGGGAUGCAGAAUUCCAGGUGUAGCGGUGAAAUGCGUAGAUAUCGGAAGGAACAUCAGUGGCGAAGGCGACUUCCUGGACCGGCAUUGACGCUGAGGUGCGAAAGCGUGGGGAGCAAACAGG
rnacentral:rRNA from 1 species